AGACAAGCAAACAUACCUCAUUCAUAGCAUUUUGUGAUACUGUUGAGUGGGAUUUUUAUUAUUUCGAUCAUUCAUUACAUCAUCAAGAUACAUGUUCAAAGUAAAAAUGGCGAACGAUUGAAUGCUACAGAUAUCUGAUGCAGUGUAACGGAUGCCAAUCAUACAUGCAUUUGUUUUUUGUUAUCGAAAAAGAUGCCGCGCAAAUGUCGAAUUCCAGAAUAUACUCCGUGCUAUAGAUGCUUUGUAAUUUGUUAACAUCAUUAUCUGAUGGAAUUCCCAAAACAAAACAAUGUUCUGCUUCAUAUAAUUAUGAAGUCUCAUAAAAACAAUAGCUAAUUCCGACAACUUUGGAAGCUUAAUCUUAUUGAAGUGUUCCCAUCAGCUGUGAUAGCUCAAAACUAAUUAGUUCCACGUGUGCGGUUUGUUGUUUCACAAACAUUAUUUCAAUUCUUUUAUAAACCACGUAUGUAUUUAUGAAUUACAUGAACACGCACCAGUCCUGUAAUUACAUACAUGUAUCAUGCAUGUAAACCAUU
rnacentral:misc_RNA from 1 species